rnacentral:rRNA from 1 species
GAUGAACGCUAGCGGCAGGCCUAACACAUGCAAGUCGAGGGGGAAGUUACUUUCGGGUGACUGAGACCGGCGUACGGGUGCGUAACGCGUAUACAAUCUGCCUUUCACUGGGGGAUAGCCCGAAGAAAUUUGGAUUAAUACCCCAUAGUAUAUAGGGACGGCAUCGUUUUUAUAUUAAAGCUUAGGUGGUGCAAGAUGAGUAUGCGUUCUAUUAGCUAGUUGGAGAGGUAACGGCUCCCCAAGGCGAUGAUAGAUAGGGGUUCUGAGAGGGAUGUCCCCCACACUGGUACUGAGAUACGGACCAGACUCCUACGGGAGGCAGCAGUGAGGAAUAUUGGACAAUGGUCGGAAGACUGAUCCAGCCAUGCCGCGUGCAGGAUGAAGGUCUUAUGGAUUGUAAACUGCUUUUGUAAGGGAAGAAUAAGGGCUACGCGUAGUUUGAUGACGGUACCUGACGAAUAAGCAUCGGCUAACUCCGUG